rnacentral:rRNA from 1 species
UACGGAGGAUCCGAGCGUUAUCCGGAAUCAUUGGGUUUAAAGGGUCCGUAGGCGGGUUUAUAAGUCAGUGGUGAAAGUUUGCGGCUUAACCGUAAAAUUGCCAUUGAUACUGUAGAUCUUGAAUUAGUGUGAAGUGGUUAGAAUGUGUAGUGUAGCGGUGAAAUGCAUAGAUAUUACACAGAAUACCAAUUGCGAAGGCAGAUCACUAACACUAUAUUGACGCUGAGGGACGAAAGCGUGGGGAGCGAAC